UACGGGGGGUGCAAGCGUUAUCCGGAUUCACUGGGUUUAAAGGGUGCGUAGGAGGGCAGGUAAGUCAGUGGUGAAAUCUCCGAGCUUAACUUGGAAACUGCCGUUGAUACUAUCUGUCUUGAAUGUUGUGGAGGUGAGCGGAAUAUGUCAUGUAGCGGUGAAAUGCGUAGAUAUGACAUAGAACACCAAUGGCGAAGGCAGCUCACUACACAAUUAUUGACUCUGAUGCACGAAAGCGUGGGGAUCAAACAGG
rnacentral:rRNA from 1 species